CCUACGGGUGGCAGCAGUGAGGAAUAUUGGUCAAUGGGCGGGAGCCUGAACCAGCCAAGCCGCGUGAGGGAAGAAGGUCCAGCGUAUCGUAAACCUCUUUUGCCAGGGAACAAAGGCGGGGACUAGUCCCCCGAUGAGUGUACCUUACGAACAAGCAUCGGCUAACCCCGUGCCAGCCGCCGCGGUACUAGGGGGGAUGCGAGCGUUAGCGGGAUUUAUGGGGUUUAAGGGGUGCGCGGCGGGCCGGUUAGGUCAGCGCGAAAAGCCCGGGGCUAAACCCCGGCGAGCCGUUGAAACUGGCGGGCUGGAGUGGGAGAGAGGUACGCGGAAUGCGCGGUGUAGCGGUGAAAUGCGUAGAUAUCGGGCAGAACCCC
rnacentral:rRNA from 1 species